rnacentral:rRNA from 1 species
CCAGCGGGUUGAUAGGCCGGAAGUGGAAGCACCGCGAGGUGUGGAGCUGACCGGUACUAACAGGCCGAGGGCUUGACCA